rnacentral:tRNA from 1 species
GCGUCCAUAGUCUAGUCUGGUAGGACUUCGGCCUUCCAAGCCGAUAACUCGGGUUCAAAUCCCGAUGGGCGCA